rnacentral:rRNA from 1 species
GAUGUCUGAUUAGCUAGUUGGUGACGUAAAGGCUUACCAAGGCUWCGAUCAGUAGCUGGUCUGAGAGGACGACCAGCCACACUGGGACUGAGACACGGCCCAGACUCCUACGGGAGGCAGCAGUGGGGAAUUUUGGACAAUGGGGGAAACCCUGAUCCAGCCAUGCCGCGUGAGUGAAGAAGGCCUUCGGGUUGUAAAGCUCUUUCAGCCGGAACGAAACGGUUACGGCUAAUACCUGUGACUACUGACGGUACCGGAAGAAGAAGCACCGGCUAACUACGUGCCAGCAGCCGCGGUAAUACGUACGGUGCGAGCGUUAAUCGGAAUUACUGGGCGUAAAGCGUGCGCAGGCGGUUUUGUAAGUCAGAUGUGAAAUCCCCGGGCUCAACCUGGGAACU